rnacentral:rRNA from 1 species
CCUACGGGAGGCAGCAGUGAGGAAUAUUGGUCAAUGGACGAGAGCCUGAACCAGCCAAGUAGCGUGAAGGAUGACUGCCCUAUGGGUUGUAAACUUCUUUUAUAUGGGAAUAAAAUGUUGCACGUGUGGGAUUUUGUAUGUACCAUAUGAAUAAGGAUCGGCUAACUCCGUGCCAGCAGCCGCGGUAAUACGGAGGAUCCGAGCGUUAUCCGGAUUUAUUGGGUUUAAAGGGAGCGUAGGUGGAUUGUUAAGUCAGUUGUGAAAGUUUGCGGCUCAACCGUGAAAUUGCAGUUGAAACUGGCAGUCUUGAGUACAGUAGAGGUAGGCGGAAUUCGUGGUGUAGCGGUGAAAUGCUUAGAUAUCACGAAGAACUCCGAUUGCGAAGGCAGCUCACUGGACUGCAACUGACACUGAGGCUCGAAAGUGUGGGUAUCAAACAGGAUUAGAUACCCUUGUAGUC